rnacentral:tRNA from 1 species
GGAGAGGUGCCCGGAGCGGUUCAACGGGGACCGGCGAGCAUGGCUCGGAGGUCGGGUCCGCAAGGACCUGCGCAGGUUCGAAUCCUGCCCUCUCCGC